AUUGAACGCUGGCGGCAUGCCUUACACAUGCAAGUCGAACGGUAACGGGCCUUCGGGUGCCGACGAGUGGCGAACGGGUGAGUAAUACAUCGGAACGUGCCCGAUCGUGGGGGAUAACGAGGCGAAAGCUUUGCUAAUACCGCAUACGAUCUACGGAUGAAAGCAGGGGACCGCAAGGCCUUGCGCGGACGGAGCGGCCGAUGGCAGAUUAGGUAGUUGGUGGGAUAAAAGCUUACCAAGCCGGCGAUCUGUAGCUGGUCUGAGAGGAUGAUCAGCCGCACUGGGACUGAGACACGGCCCAGACUCCUACGGGAGGCAGCAGUGGGGAAUUUUGGACAAUGGGCGCAAGCCUGAUCCAGCCAUGCCGCGUGCAGGAUGAAGGCCUUCGGGUUGUAAACUGCUUUUGUACGGAACGAAAAGCCUUCUUUUAAUACAGGAGGGUCAUGACGGUACCGUAAUAAUAAGCACCGGCUAACUACGUG
rnacentral:rRNA from 1 species